rnacentral:rRNA from 1 species
CCUACGGGAGGCAGCAGUAGGGAAUCUUUCACAAUGGGCGAAAGCCUGAUGGAGCAACGCCGCGUGCAGGAUGAAGGCCUUCGGGUUGUAAACUGCUUUUAUAAGCGAGAAAUAUGAUGGUAACUUAUGAAUAAGGAUCGGCUAACUACGUGCCAGAAGCCGCGGUCAUACGUAGGAUCCGAGCAUUAUCCGGAGUGACUGGGUGUAAAGAGUUGCGUAGGUGGCAUAAUAAGUAGCUAGUGAAAUCUGGUGGCUCAACCAUUCAGACUAUUAGCUAAACUGUUAAGCUCGAGACCGUUAGGGGUAACUGGAAUGUCUAGUGUAGGAGUGAAAUCCGUAGAUAUUAGAAGGAACACCAAUAGCGUAGGCAGGUUGCUGGGACGGUUCUGACACUAAGGCACGAAAGCGUAGGGAGCAAACGGGAUUAGAUACCCGUGUAGUC